AUACGGAGGGUGCAAGCGUUAUUCGGAAUCACUGGGCGUAAAGGGUGCGUAGGCGGUUUGAUAAGUCUGAUGUGAAAUCCUAUGGCUCAACCAUAGAACUGCAUUGGAAACUGUCAGACUAGAAUACUGAAGGGGCAGAUGGAAUUAGUGGUGUAGGGGUAAAAUCCGUAGAUAUCACUAGGAAUACCGAAAGCGAAAGCGAUCUGCUGGGAAGUUAUUGACGCUGAGGCACGAAAGCGAGGGGAGCAAACGGGAUUAGAAACCCCAGUAGUCC
rnacentral:rRNA from 1 species